rnacentral:rRNA from 1 species
GUGAUCACACCGGCACUAAUGCAUCAGAUCCCAUCAGAACUCCGAAGUUAAGCUUGCUUGGACGAGGGCAAUACUAGGAAGGGUGACCCCUUGAGAAGUCCUCGUGUUGCACCU